CCCUUUGUGACAUACCUAUAACUGUUGCUUCGGCGGGUAGGGUCUCCGCGACCCUCCCGGCCUCCCGCCUCCGGGCGGGUCGGCGCCCGCCGGAGGAUAACCAAACUCUGAUUUAACGACGUUUCUUCUGAGUGGUACAAGCAAAUAAUCAAAACUUUUAACAACGGAUCUCUUGGUUCUGGCAUCGAUGAAGAACGCAGCGAAAUGCGAUAAGUAAUGUGAAUUGCAGAAUUCAGUGAAUCAUCGAAUCUUUGAACGCACAUUGCGCCCGCCAGCAUUCUGGCGGGCAUGCCUGUUCGAGCGUCAUUUCAACCCUCAAGCUCUGCUUGGUGUUGGGGCCCUACAGCUGAUGUAGGCCCUCAAAGGUAGUGGCGGACCCUCCCGGAGCCUCCUUUGCGUAGUAACUUUACGUCUGGCAGGGGGAUCCGGGAGGACUCUUGCCGCAAAACCCCCCAUUUUUCGAAGGGUUGACCUCGGAUCAGGGGGGAAAACCCGCUGAGAUUCCUCCUAUC
rnacentral:rRNA from 1 species